CCUUAAAUGAUGAGUAACAUCAGACUUUCGUUCUACUGAGUUUGCUGAAGCAACUUUGAAUCUGAGAAGG